GGUGUGGCUCAAAUGGUAGAGUAUCUGUCUUGCAAGCAUGAGGCCUUGGGUUCGAAGCCCAGUACCACCA
rnacentral:tRNA from 1 species